rnacentral:rRNA from 1 species
GAUGAACGCUGGCGGCGUGCCUAAUACAUGCAAGUCGAGCGAACAGACGAGGAGCUUGCUCCUCUGACGUUAGCGGCGGACGGGUGAGUAACACGUGGAUAACCUCCCUAUAAGACUGGGAUAACUUCGGGAAACCGGAGCUAAUACCGGAUAAUAUAUUGAACCGCAUGGUUCAAUAGUGAAAGACGGUUUUGCUGUCACUUAUAGAUGGAUCCGCGCCGCAUUAGCUAGUUGGUAAGGUAACGGCUUACCAAGGCAACGAUGCGUAGCCGACCUGAGAGGGUGAUCGGCCACACUGGAACUGAGACACGGUCCAGACUCCUACGGGAGGCAGCAGUGGGGAAUCUUCCGCAAUGGGCGAAAGCCUGACGGAGCAACGCCGCGUGAGUGAUGAAGGUCUUCGGAUCGUAAAACUCUGUUAUUAGGGAAGAACAAAUGUGUAAGUAACUAUGCACGUCUUGACGGUACCUAAUCAGAAAGCCACGGCUAACUACGUG